rnacentral:rRNA from 1 species
CUUGGUCAUUUAGAGGAAGUAAAAGUCGUAACAAGGUUUCCGUAGGUGAACCUGCGGAAGGAUCAUUAAAGAGUUUAGUGACUUCGGUCUACUACUCCACCCUUUGUUUAUAAUACCAUUGUUGCUUUGGCAGGCCUGUCGCAAGACAACCGGCUUUGGCUGGUCAGUGCCUGCCAGAGGACCUAAAACUCAUGUUUACAUUAUUGUCUGAGUGCUAUAUAAUAGUUAAAACUUUCAACAACGGAUCUCUUGGUUCUGGCAUCGAUGAAGAACGCAGCGAAAUGCGAUAAGUAAUGUGAAUUGCAGAAUUCAGUGAAUCAUCGAAUCUUUGAACGCACAUUGCGCCCUCUGGUAUUCCGGGGGGCAUGCCUGUUCGAGCGUCAUUAUAACCACUCAAGCCUCGGCUUGGUCUUGGGGUUCGCGGUCUCGCGGCCCUUAAAAUCAGUGGCGGUGCCGUCUGGCUCUAAGCGUAGUAAUUCUCUCGCUAUAGGGUCCCGGCGGUUCCCCGCCAGAACCCUCUAAUUUUUUACGGUUGACCUCGGAUCAGGUAGGGAUACCCGCUGAACUUAAGCAUAUCAAUAAGCGGAGGA